rnacentral:rRNA from 1 species
UACAGAGGUCCCGAGCGUUGUUCGGAUUCACUGGGCGUAAAGGGUGCGCAGGUGGUUUGGCAAGUUUGAUGUGAAAGCCCCGGGCUUAACCCGGGAAUGGCAUUGAAUACUGCUUGAACUGGAGGGUUGGAGGGGGGACUGGAAUUCUUGGUGUAGCAGUGAAAUGCGUAGAUAUCAAGAGGAACACCAGUGGCGAAGGCGAGUCCCUGGACCAGCACUGACACUGAAGCACGAAAGCGUGGGGAGCAAACAGG